UACGUAGGGACCAAGCGUUGUUCGGAUUUACUGGGCGUAAAGGGCGCGUAGGCGGCGCGGUAAGUCACUUGUGAAAUCUCUGAGCUUAACUCAGAACGGCCAAGUGAUACUGCAGUGCUAGAGUGUGGAAGGGGCAAUCGGAAUUCUUGGUGUAGCGGUGAAAUGCGUAGAUAUCUGGAGGAACACCGGUGGCGGAGGCGGCAUCCUGGACCGGUAUUGACGCUGAGGCGCGAAAGCCAGGGGAGCAAACAGG
rnacentral:rRNA from 1 species